rnacentral:rRNA from 1 species
AUUGAACGCUGGCGGCAGGCCUAACACAUGCAAGUCGAGCGGAUGAAGGGAGCUUGCUCCUGAUUCAGCGGCGGACGGGUGAGUAAUGCCUAGGAAUCUGCCUGGUAGUGGGGGAUAACGUCCGGAAACGGGCGCUAAUACCGCAUACGUCCUGAGGGAGAAAGUGGGGGAUCUUCGGACCUCACGCUAUCAGAUGAGCCUAGGUCGGAUUAGCUAGUUGGUGGGGUAAAGGCCUACCAAGGCGACGAUCCGUAACUGGUCUGAGAGGAUGAUCAGUCACACUGGAACUGAGACACGGUCCAGACUCCUACGGGAGGCAGCAGUGGGGAAUAUUGGACAAUGGGCGAAAGCCUGAUCCAGCCAUGCCGCGUGUGUGAAGAAGGUCUUCGGAUUGUAAAGCACUUUAAGUUGGGAGGAAGGGCAGUAAGUUAAUACCCUGCUGUUUUGACGUUACCAACAGAAUAAGCACCGGCUAACUUCGUG